UACCGGCAGCACGAGUGAUGGCCGCUAUUAUUGGGCCUAAAGCGUUCGUAGCCGGCCGGUCAAGUCUGUUGGGAAAUCGACGCGCUCAACGCGUCGGCGUCCAGCGGAAACUGACUGGCUUGGGGCCGGAAGAUCUGAGGGGUACGUCUGGGGUAGGAGUGAAAUCCCGUAAUCCUAGACGGACCACCGGUGGCGAAAGCGCCUCAGAAAGACGGACCCGACGGUGAGGAACGAAAGCCAGGGUCUCGAACCGG
rnacentral:rRNA from 1 species